GACGAACGCUGGCGGCGUGCUUAACACAUGCAAGUCGAACGAAAAGAGGGAAAGAGCUUGCUCUUUCCGGAAUUGAGUGGCAAACGGGUGAGUAACACGUAAACAACCUGCCUUCAGGAUGGGGACAACAGACGGAGACGACUGCUAAUACCGAAUAAGUUCCAAGGGCCGCAUGGCCCAUGGAAGAAAAGGUGGCCUCUACCUGUAAGCUAUCGCCUGAAGAGGGGUUUGCGUCUGAUUAGCUGGUUGGAGGGGUAACGGCCCACCAAGGCGACGAUCAGUAGCCGGUCUGAGAGGAUGAACGGCCACACUGGAAUUGAGACACGGUCCAGACUCCUACGGGAGGCAGCAGUGGGGAAUCUUCCGCAAUGGGCGAAAGCCUGACGGAGCAACGCCGCGUGAGUGAUGACGGCCUUCGGGUUGUAAAACUCUGUGAUCCGGGACGAAAAGGCAGAGUGCGAAGAACAAACUGCAUUGACGGUACCGGAAAAGCAAGCCACGGCUAACUACGUG
rnacentral:rRNA from 1 species